rnacentral:sRNA from 1 species
UGCGAGGCUCGAUGGCUCGCGAUAGGGCGCCGGCUCUCGGGGCCGGUAUCCCUCGUCAUCACGUUGCUCAACGGAGGAUGUGGUCAUGAGGA